rnacentral:rRNA from 1 species
UACGGAGGUGGCAAGCGUUGUUCGGAAUUACUGGGCGUAAAGGGCGCGUAGGCGGCAAGGCAAGUCAGGUGUGAAAGCCCCGAGCUUAACUCGGGAAUUGCAUCUGAAACUGCUGUGCUUGGGUUCUGGAGGGGGUAGUGGAAUUCCCAGUGUAGCGGUGAAAUGCGUAGAUAUUGGGAGGAACACCUGCGGCGAAGGCGGCUACCUGGACAGAAACUGACGCUGAGGCGCGAAAGCUAGGGGAGCGAACGGG